AGGACUAACGCUGGCGGCGUGCCUAACACAUGCAAGUCGAACGAGAGUAGCAAUACUCUAGUGGCAGACGGGUGAGUAACACGUGGUCAACCUACCUUUAAGUGGGGGAUAACUAGCCGAAAGGUUAGCUAAUACCGCAUACGAUCUUCGCGUGGCAUCACAUGAAGAUGAAAGGAGCAAUCCGCUGAAAGACGGGACCGCGUCCCAUUAGCCAGUUGGUGGGGUAACGGCCUACCAAAGCAACGAUGGGUAGCUGGCUUGAGAGAGCGACCAGCCACACUGGGGACUGAGACACGGCCCAGACUCCUACGGGAGGCAGCAGUGAGGAAUUUUCCGCAAUGGGCGAAAGCCUGACGGAGCGACGCCGCGUGUGGGAUGAAGGCCUUCGGGUCGUAAACCACUGUCGAAGGGGAAGAUAUUGACGGUACCCUUGGAGGAAGCCCGGCUAACUACGUGCCAGCAGCCGC
rnacentral:rRNA from 1 species